AUUGAACGCUGGCGGCAGGCUUAACACAUGCAAGUCGAGCGGGGUGAUGGUGCUUGCACUAUCACUUAGCGGCGGACGGGUGAGUAAUGCUUAGGAAUCUGCCUAUUAGUGGGGGACAACAUCACGAAAGGGAUGCUAAUACCGCAUACGUCCUACGGGAGAAAGCAGGGGAUCACUUGUGACCUUGCGCUAAUAGAUGAGCCUAAGUCGGAUUAGCUAGUUGGUGGGGUAAAGGCCUACCAAGGCGACGAUCUGUAGCGGGUCUGAGAGGAUGAUCCGCCACACUGGGACUGAGACACGGCCCAGACUCCUACGGGAGGCAGCAGUGGGGAAUAUUGGACAAUGGGGGGAACCCUGAUCCAGCCAUGCCGCGUGUGUGAAGAAGGCCUUAUGGUUGUAAAGCUCUUUAAGCGAGGAGGAGGCUCUUUUGGUUAAUACCCAAGAUGAGUGGACGUUACUCGCAGAAUAAGCACCGGCUAACUCUGUGCCAGCAGCCGCCGUAA
rnacentral:rRNA from 1 species